rnacentral:rRNA from 1 species
AACGAACGCUGGCGGCAGGCCUAACACAUGCCAGUCGAGCGCCCCGCAAGGGGAGCGGCGGACGGGUGAGUAACGCGUGGGAAUAUGCCCUUUGCUACGGAAUAGUCUCGGGAAACUGGGGGUAAUACCGUAUACGCCCUUUGGGGGAAAGAUUUAUCGGCGAAGGAUUAGCCCGCGUUGGAUUAGGUAGUUGGUGGGGUAAUGGCCUACCAAGCCGACGAUCCAUAGCUGGUUUGAGAGGAUGAUCAGCCACACUGGGACUGAGACACGGCCCAGACUCCUACGGGAGGCAGCAGUGGGGAAUCUUAGACAAUGGGGGCAACCCUGAUCGAGCCAUGCCGCGUGAGUGAUGAAGGCCUUAGGGUUGUAAAGCUCUUUCAGCUGGGAAGAUAAUGACGGUACCAGCAGAAGAAGCCCCGGCUAACUCCGUG